UACGUAGGUGGCAAGCGUUGUCCGGAUUUACUGGGCGUAAAGAGCGCGCAGGCGGUCGUUCAAGUCGCGUGUGAAAGCCCCCGGCUCAACUGGGGAGGGUCACGCGAUACUGAUCGACUCGAAGGCAGGAGAGGGAAGUGGAAUUCCCGGUGUAGUGGUGAAAUGCGUAGAUAUCGAGAGGAACACCUGCGGCGAAGGCGGGUUGCUGGGCUGAUACUGACGCUGAGGCGCGAAAGCCAGGGGAGCGAACGGG
rnacentral:rRNA from 1 species